UCCGGCUGAUCCUGCCAGAGGUUACUGCUAUCGGUGUUCGACUAAGCCAUGCAAGUCAUAUGUUCUUCGUGAACAUGGCGUACUGCUCAGUAACACGUGGAUAACCUGCCCUUGGGUCCGGCAUAACCCCGGGAAACUGGGGAUAAUUCCGGAUAACGCAUAUAUGCUGGAAUGCUUUAUGCGUCAAAUGGAUUCGUCUGCCCAAGGAUGGGUCUGCGGCCUAUCAGGUAGUAGUGGGUGUAAUGUACCUACUAGCCUACAACGGGUACGGGUUGUGAGAGCAAGAGCCCGGAGAUGGAUUCUGAGACACGAACCCAGGCCCUACGGGGCGCAGCAGGCGCGAAAACUUUACAAUGCGGGAAACAGCGAUAAGGGAACACUCGAGUGCCAGCAUACAAAUGCUGGCUGUCCAGAUGCCUAAAAUAGCACUUGUCAUAGCAAGGGCCGGGCAAGACCGGUGCCAGCCGCCGCGGUAACACCGGCGGCCCGAGUGGUAACCGUGAUUAUUGGGUCUAAAGGGUCCGUAGCCGGCCUGGAUAAGUCCUCCUGAGAAAUCUGACAGCUUAACUAUCAGGCUUUCAGGAGAUACUGCCAGACUCGAGGCCGGCAGAGGUGAGAGGUACUUCAGGGGUAGGGGUGAAAUCUUGUAAUCCUUGAAG
rnacentral:rRNA from 1 species